AUACGUAUGGGGCGAGCGUUGUCCGGAAUGAUUGGGCGUAAAGGGUACGUAGGCGGUUAAUUAAGUCGAGUGUGAAAGGUUGGGGCUCAACCCCAUAAAGCAUUCGAAACUGGUUAACUUGAGAUGUGGAGAGGAAAGUGGAAUUCCUAGUGUAGCGGUGACAUGCGUAGAUAUUAGGAGGAAUACCAGUAGCGAAGGCGACUUUCUGGACACAUACUGACGCUGAGGUACGAAAGGGUGGGGAGCAAACAGGAUUAGAUACCCUGGUAGUCCACGCCGUAAACGAUGAAUGCUAGGUGUCGGGGGUCAAACCUCGGUGCCGCCGCUAACGCAUUAAGCAUUCCGCCUGGGGAGUACGCACGCAAGUGUGAAACUCAAAGGAAUUGGCGGGG
rnacentral:rRNA from 1 species